AUUGUUCAACGGCCGCGGUAUCCUAACCGUGCGAAGGUAGCGUAAUCACUUGUUCUUUAAAUGAGGACUAGUAUGAACGGCUUCACGAAAGCUAUACUGUCUCCUUUAUCUAAUCAGUUAAACUAAUCUCCCCGUGAAGAAGCGGGGAUGCCCAUAUAAGACGAGAAGACCCUAUGGAGCUUUAAACAUCUCUAGACAUUUGAACAUUCACAAUUUUAAGCCUCACUAAAUUCAUCAUUUUGUCUUAAGUUUUAGGUUGGGGUGACCGCGGAGAAAAAACUAACCUCCACAUAGAAAGAACCUCCCUUCUAAGCAAAAAGCCACAUCUUUAUGCAUCAACACAUUGACCUUAAUUGACCCAAUUACUUGAUCAACGAACCAAGUUACCCUAGGGAUAACAGCGCAAUCCGCUUUGAGAGCUCCUAUCGACAAGCGGGCUUACGACCUCGAUGUUGGAUCAGGGCAUCCUAGUGGUGCAGCAGCUACUAAUGGUUCGUUUGUUCAACGAUUAAAGCCCUACGUGAUCUGAGUUCAGAC
rnacentral:rRNA from 1 species